rnacentral:rRNA from 1 species
UACAGAGGUGCCAAGCGUUGUUCGGAUUCAUUGGGCGUAAAGGGUGCGUAGGCGGCGCGGUAAGUCGGGUGUGAAAUCUCGGAGCUUAACUCCGAAACUGCAUUCGAUACUGCCGUGCUUGAGGACUGGAGAGGAGACUGGAAUUUACGGUGUAGCGGUGAAAUGCGUAGAUAUCGUAAGGAAGACCAGUGGCGAAGGCGGGUCUCUGGACAGUUCCUGACGCUGAGGCACGAAGGUCAGGGGAGCAAACGGG